GAUGAACGCUGGCGGCGUGCCUAAUACUUGCAAGUCGAGCGAACGGACGAGAAGCUUGCUUCUCUGAUGUUAGCGGCGGACGGGUGAGUAACACGUGGAUAACCUACCUAUAAGACUGGGAUAACUUCGGGAAACCGGAGCUAAUACCGGAUAAUAUUUUGAACCGCAUGGUUCAAAAGUGAAAGACGGUCUUGCUGUCACUUAUAGAUGGAUCCGCGCUGCAUUAGCUAGUUGGUAAGGUAACGGCUUACCAAGGCAACGAUGCAUAGCCGACCUGAGAGGGUGAUCGGCCACACUGGAACUGAGACACGGUCCAGACUCCUACGGGAGGCAGCAGUAGGGAAUCUUCCGCAAUGGGCGAAAGCCUGACGGAGCAACGCCGCGUGAGUGAUGAAGGUCUUCGGAUCGUAAAACUCUGUUAUUAGGGAAGAACAUAUGUGUAAGUAACUGUGCACAUCUUGACGGUACCUAAUCAGAAAGCCACGGCUAACUACGUG
rnacentral:rRNA from 1 species